rnacentral:rRNA from 1 species
UGCAGUCGAGCGGCAGCACGGGUGCUUGUCUUGGUGGCGAGUGGCAAGCGGGUGAGUAGUACGUCGGACCCUGUCCUGGAGGGAGGGAUAGCCCGGCGAAAGCCGGAUUAAUACCGCAUACGAUCUACGGAUGAAAGCGAGGGACCUUCCUGCCUCGCGCUAUAAGGUUGAUCGAUGGCUGAUUAUAUAGUUGGAGGGGUAAAGGUCUACCAAGGCGAAGAUCAGUAGGUGCUCUGAGAGGACGACCACCCACUGUGGGACUGACACACGGCCCACACUCCUACGGGAGGCAACAGUGGAGAAUUUUGGACAGUGAGCGAAAGCCUGAUCCACCUAUGCCGCGUGUGUGAAAAAGGCCUUCGGUGUGUAAAUCUUUUUUGUCCGGAAAGAAAUCCUUGGCUCUAAUACAGUCGGGGGAUGACGGCACCGAAAAAAUAAACACCGGCUAACUACGUGCCAACACCCGCGGAAAUACGUAGGGUGCGAGCGUUAAUCAAAAUUAGUGGGCGUAAAGCGUGCGCAGGCGGCUUGCUAAGACCGAUGUGAUAUCCCCGGUCUCACCCUGAGAACUGUCUUGGUGACUGGCAGGCUAGAGUAUGGCAGAGAUGGGGUACUAUUCCGCGUGUAGCAGUGAUGUGCAUAUGAUAUGAGAGAAGAAUACCGAUGGAGAAUGCCCCCCCCCCUGUGUGACUAUACUGACUGUCAUGACACGAGAGCGUGGAGACCAAGACAGAGAUUACUAUA